rnacentral:rRNA from 1 species
GAUGAACGCUAGCGGCAGGCUUAACACAUGCAAGUCGAGGGGUAUAGGAAGCUUGCUUCCUAGAGACCGGCGCACGGGUGCGUAACGCGUAUGCAAUCUACCUUUUGCAGAGGGAUAGCCCAGAGAAAUUUGGAUUAAUACCUCAUAGUAUGUGAGAAUGGCAUCAUUUUCACAUUAAAGUCACAACGGCAAAAGAUGAGCAUGCGUCCCAUUAGCUUGUUGGUAAGGUAACGGCUUACCAAGGCAACGAUGGGUAGGGGUCCUGAGAGGGAGAUCCCCCACACUGGCACUGGGACACGGACCAGACUCCUACGGGAGGCAGCAGUGAGGAAUAUUGGACAAUGGGCGCAAGCCUGAUCCAGCCAUGCCGCGUGCAGGAUGACGGUCCUAUGGAUUGUAAACUGCUUUUGUACAGGAAGAAACACUGGUUCGUGAACCAGCUUGACGGUACUGUAAGAAUAAGGAUCGGCUAACUCCGUGCCAGCCGCCGCGGUAAGAC